rnacentral:rRNA from 1 species
AGAGUUUGAUCAUGGCUCAGGAUGAACGCUGGCGGUAUGCCUUACACAUGCAAGUCGUACGAGAGUUUUUAACUCAAGUGGCGGACGGGUGAGUAACACGUAAGAAUUUGCCUUUAGGAGGGGGAUAACAACUGGAAACGGUUGCUAAUACCCCAUAUGCUUUAGAGUGAAAUGGAUUUAUCCGCCUAAAGAGAAGCUUGCGGCUGAUUAGCUUGUUGGUGAGGUAAUGGCUCACCAAGGCGACGAUCAGUAUCUGGUUUGAGAGGACGAUCAGACACACUGGAACUGAGACACGGUCCAGACUCCUACGGGAGGCAGCAGUGGGGAAUUUUCCGCAAUGGGCGAAAGCCUGACGGAGCAAUACCGCGUGAGGGAUGACUGCCUAUGGGUUGUAAACCUCUUUUUUCAGGGAGGAACAAAAUGACGUGUACCUGAAGAAUAAGCAUCGGCUAACUCCGUGCCAGCAGCCGCGGUAAUUC